rnacentral:lncRNA from 1 species
GUUUUACCAUGUUGGCCAGGCUGGUCUCGAACUUCUGACCUCAGGUGAUCCGCCUGCCUCGGCCUCCCAGAGUGCUGGGAUUACAGGCAUGAGCCAGUGUGCCUGGCCUGAUGGGGAAUUUUCUCACAUUAUUUCUUUGAUAAUUUCUUCCAUGAUAUCGUCUUUUCUCUCUUUCUGGGAAUCCUGUUAGUCACAUGCUGCAUCUCCUAGACAUUUUUUUUCUCCAAAUUUUCAUCCCUUUUCCUUUUAUUCUGAGGAUCUUAGUAUUGCCUUCUCUAUAAGGUUUUAAGUUGCCUUAUAAAUGCAGUUUUUCCCCCUAUUGUUAUCAGAAGGAUGGCUAUGGUCCCCCACGAGUGGAGAUGGGAAUUGGAAAGUUUGACUUGGAAGCAUUCUGAAUUUUCCCCUCACUUGUAGCUAGUCAUCACCCACAUGGUUCUAGUUUUCCAUGUGAUUUGACACAACUGAAGUUCAGUGGCUCCUUGGAUUGCUGAAAUGAAAUGGAGGCCUUCUUUGCAACCUGAGCUCUUCUAGCUUUCUGUUUCUCUGUGUCUUAGAACAGAAGUUCAUGUUUUGGGUCAGUAAUGUAAGUAAGAAAUUGAAGAAGUAGAUGAUUACAAAUGAAUAACCUGUUGUUAGUAGUGUACAUAGGGUGGUUUUAGAUCUAUGUAGAUCAUGAUGAUUUGGUUGUGUGGCUUCGGCAGCCAACCACCUAAAUUACUUGAAUGAAGCUUCUUUCCUGAAAGGAGCUUGGAUUCAUCUGAAUUUCAGAGUACUUUCAUUUGAAUAUCCUGUCAGCAUAAUUCAAAUUUUAAAAUGCUUGCUUGGGUAUUGUAUUUUUUAAAUAGAAUUUUAGCAUUUAACAACAUAAACCAAAAUAAUCUUCUCCUUCCACCUCUCCACUGAACCUGUAGAGAGUCAAGGCCUUGUCUGAGUCCUGUGUUCUUGCCCUCCCUGUGGCUGCUGGUUCUAACCCAACUCCAGCCCCUUAGCAAGUGCUCUCCUCCUUUGAGCCUGUGCUGCUAUUACACACCAGGCUCGCCCAUUUCCUAGGGUGUCUCUUGCUGCCUUCCAUCCCCCUCCACUUCACCCUAACCCUCUUCCUCUUUCUCGCACUCUCUCAUUUGGUGUUUCUCAGUGGGGUUUGUGGAUGUCCCGCAUCAGAACCACCUGGGGUCUGGCCAGGCCGACUGGAUCUGAAAGGGGUGGGAGCUGCAGAGGGGUCUGUUUGUUUUUCAAGCCCUCCUGGAGAUUCUCUCACCAGAGUUCAAGAGGCACUGCUCUAAUUUUUUUUUUCUUCUUUUAGAGGCUGGGUCUCACUAUGUUGCUUAGGCUGGUCUUGAACUCCUGGCCUCAAGCUAUUGUCCGGCCUCAGUCUCUGAGUGGUUGGGAUUACAGGCAGAACAACUGUGCCCGGCUCACACUGCUCUAAUUCCUGAUACCCACCCAGCUAAGUUCCUGAUUCUGCUUUACACCCUUUGCCCUUUCUCUUAGGGAGUUCAUACUCUCCAGCAGGCUUUGUUCUUCUGCUACCCAGAGGCCCCCCUCCAGCUCCCACCUCUUAUCUAGCAUCCAGCCUUCUAUUUGCAGUUAUUCCCAGGGAAUCUCCUGCAUGCUGGGUGUGACCACCCACACUUGUCAUCUCUUGGAACAACAUCCCCAGGAGAAUGUGAGCUCUGUGAAAACAAGGACCUCAUCUGUCUUAUUCAUCACUGGAACUCCAGCAUCCAGAAUAGUCCCUGGCACUGAUGAGGCAUUCAGUAAAUAUUAGUUGAAUGAAAGAAAUAAAAACACCCAUAGAUCAGGAUGUAUGACCAAGGAUAUUUAUUGCAGCAGUAUUAUGGUGGCAAAAAUCCAGAAUCAAAGAGAAUGUCCAUUAGUGAGGGGCUGAUUAGGACCUACACCACUACUGGGCUAAGCGGUGUGGCACAGUGGUUAAUGGUAUGGCUUUAGUGUCGGAUGCCUGGGCUGUAAUCCAUUUCUGUGUUCAUCUUAAACAUACAAUGAAUGGUCCUGGGGAAGAUGUUUAGCCCCUGUGUCUUAGUUUUCUCAUCUAUAAAACGAGGACAAUAAUGACACCAAUCUCAUAAGGUUUUGUGAGACUCAAAUGAAAUGAUAUAGGUAACAUGUGGGAACAGUGCCUGGCACAUUGUAACUCAAUAAAUAGUAGUUAUUAUUACUUCAUGAAAUAGUAAAGAGAAUGACUUAAAAAUCACUUGGAGGCAUUUUCAUGGUGCAUAAGUUAGUGGCCAACACACAAUGGUAAAGCACAUGUAUUGCAUGUUGCUUUUGUAAAUCUGACA